CAUUCCUUUUAAUGUAUUUAAAUAUUACUUUCGUUGACGCAGUAGAACAUUCCCAGUGUUGAGAUAAUAAAAUGUGGAAUUUCAGAAUGUUAGUCAAAACUUGGAAGUAGGAAACGACCCAUAAAUCUUAAUGUCUCAAUAUAGUUCUGAUUAUCUAAAACAAAAGGCCUUUGUAGAGUUUUUUCUUAUAGAGUUUCGAGUGGGAUUUGAUUUUUGCAUUAAACCGUUUGUGUCAUAAAUGUUUUCUAGAGACAGUUUACUUUUCUCCGAGAACAAUUUAAGUAUUUGCUAUCUCCUUCUAAAAGCCACAUAUGAGGCUGCUUUCUGCGAGUCAUGUAGCAUGAAGAGUGGAGGUUGGGUCAGUAUGAUCUAUCACGGGGGGUGUAAGACCAACCCCAUCACCAAUUUCAAGGCCACGAUUGGUCCCCUACUCCUUCAUGUGGGAUGAACACUACUUCGUUGUGGCUUGGACUAAUUUCUAGAAUAAGAAUAACAGCAGAUCCAUUCUAUAGGUGAACGCGAUUAGUUUUGAAACAUUUCUAAACGUCUUAUAAAAUCUUAAGUUGUUAUUGUCACUAAUAUACUAAGAACACAUUAAAUUAUCAACCACCCAACUGGAUUGAUAUAAAAUUGGUGUUUGUGGUCAUUUAUUUAAUUUAAAAUUUCCCGCACUUGUAAAACAGUGGUUUAGCACCCCACAGGCAUGGACCCACCAUCCAGAAUACCCAAGAACCAGAUUGGAACGCAACAUUUUAGAACUGAGGUUUAUGAACUAUAAGGAGAGAAGAUUGGAGAAGAUUGCUCGAGUGAGCCGACGGGAGUAGCAAGGUCUGGCUCGGAAUCAGCAGCCGGGAGAACUGGACGGAGCAGCCGCCUGGUCUCGAGGACGGUAGCUCUUUGAACCGAGGGAGAGGACUGAAUGGGGGACAGCAGCAGAGAGCCAACAGAGGCAGGUCCAGAAGGCCCAACAGAGGUCGAUCCGGAGGCCGCAAUCGGCCAGACAAGAGAUGGAUCCACGAGAGAAGGCAGAAGAGGGGGGAAGAAGAACAGAGCUGCAACAAUUUAUAACUUAUAUAUAAGGAAAUAAAUGAAUAAAUAAAUGAUUCUGGUUCUGUUUGUGUCCCGACAUGUAACCUCGUCUCCCCCAUUCCACCCUCCAAUCGUCAAUUUAUCCCAAUGCAUUGAUCCCACCAUCAACCCCUCAUUUCAUCCUGACACACUCAUCGAACCCUCAAACCCCCAUUUUUUUCCCGUGCACUCAUCCCAC